UACGAAGGGGGCUAGCGUUGCUCGGAAUUACUGGGCGUAAAGGGAGCGUAGGCGGACAGUUUAGUCAGAGGUGAAAGCCCAGGGCUCAACCCCGGAACUGCCUUUGAUACUGGUAGUCUCGAGUCCGGAAGAGGUGAGUGGAAUUCCGAGUGUAGAGGUGAAAUUCGUAGAUAUUCGGAGGAACACCAGUGGCGAAGGCGGCUCACUGGUCCGGUACUGACGCUGAGGUGCGAAAGCGUGGGGAGCAAACGGG
rnacentral:rRNA from 1 species